CAGCUGGCAGGGCAAAGGGUAGCUCCCUGCAGAACUGGCUGCAAGCACAAACCACAGUCUACUGAGACAGUAGACACUGAAAGCGAGCUGUCUGCAGUAGGAACUUCCAGUUCUGAUCCAGUGGGUCUGGCUGCAUCCCCAGGCUCUCCUUCUGGCAAUCCAGGCAUAAAGCACAUGGACCAAAACUUCACUGAACACUCCAAUAUGAGAACGGAGUUAGCUCUUUGCAUGGUUAUGAAGAGUUUUAUUUAGAACAGCUGUUGAUCUUUAACAAGAAAUGCAAAGAGCACAAUAAGACUAUCUGAUAAAGAGAAUUCUCAGCUACAAAAUACUAUUUGUCAACAGAGUCAUCACCAUUAGUUCUGCAUUUUUGCCAUCAGUGAAGAGCCUACGUGGCGUGCUCAUACAAAUGUGCGCUGGCAAAGUUGCUCUGGAAGAGCUUUCUGGCACUGGGAUAAUACACAGAAAAUAAGUAUAUAAGAGAGAGAUGAAUCUGAAAGCAAGAUCGUCUUAGGAGUUUGGAAUGUGAGAGUCUGAAAAUGACAAACUGCUGGAAGUGAUUCUCAUUAAACUGCAGGAUGAGUAAAGCAAUGAAGUCAGAUAGGUACAGAGGAAAACAAAGAAGACUAAAAUAUUGUUAGAGUGAUAACUCUGGAAUUGCAGUCAAGAGUAUGAAGGAUGGCUUGGGAAGUAGAGGCAGCAACAGAAGCAGAUUAUGGAGAGCCUGUGUAUAUCAGGUAUACUGAAGUAACUGGAAGACCACUAGGGAAUCAGACACUGGUAUCAAAUUGAAGGGAUGGAAUUCAAUGGUAAUUAGGUAAUUCUGUGGAUAACAAAGCUGAGAUGUUGGAGCUGAUUACUGGUGACACAGAGAAGCUGGGACUUCAUAGUGAGGUACAAGACAGC